rnacentral:tRNA from 1 species
GGCCUUGUAGCUCAACCGGCGGAGCGCCCGCCUCUUAAGCGGGAUGAUGUGGGUUCGAGUCCCACCGGGGCCA